GACGAACGCUGGCGGCGUGCUUAACACAUGCAAGUCGAACGCCCCGCAAGGGGAGUGGCAGACAGGUGAGUAACGCGUGGGAAUCUACCGUGCCCUACGGAAUAGCUCCGGGAAACUGGAAUUAAUACCGUAUACGCCCUACGGGGGAAAGAUUUAUCGGGGUAUGAUGAGCCCGCGUUGGAUUAGCUAGUUGGGGGGGUAAAGGCCUACCAAGGCGACGAGCCAUAGCUGGUCUGAGAGGAUGAUCAGCCACAUUGGGACUGAGACACGGCCCAAACUCCUACGGGAGGCAGCAGUGGGGAAUAUUGGACAAUGGGCGCGAGCCUGAUCCAGCCAUGCCGCGUGAGUGAUGAAGGCCUUAGGGUUGUAAAGAUCUUUCAGCUGGGAAGAUAAUGACGGUACCAGCAGAAGAAGCCCCGGCUAACUCCGUGCCAGCAGCCGCCGUAAAAC
rnacentral:rRNA from 1 species